UACGUAGGGGGCAAGCGUUGUCCGGAUUUAUUGGGCGUAAAGAGCGUGUAGGCGGCCAGAUAGGUCAGCUGUGAAAACUCGAGGCUCAACCUCGAGACGUCGGUUGAAACCAUCUGGCUAGAGUCCGGAAGAGGAGAGUGGAAUUCCUGGUGUAGCGGUGAAAUGCGCAGAUAUCAGGAAGAACACCUAUGGCGAAGGCAGCUCUCUGGGACGGUACUGACGCUGAGACGCGAAAGCGUGGGGAGCGAACAGG
rnacentral:rRNA from 1 species